rnacentral:rRNA from 1 species
GAUGAACGCUAGCGAUAGGCUUAACACAUGCAAGUUGAGCGGGGGAAGGUAGCUUGCUACCGGACCUGGCGGCGGACGGGUGAGUAAUGCUUAGGAAUCUGCCUAUUAGUGGGGGACAACAUCUCGAAAGGGAUGCUAAUACCGCAUACGUCCUACGGGAGAAAGCAGGGGAUCUUCGGACCUUGCGCUAAUAGAUGAGCCUAAGUCGGAUUAGCUAGUUGGUGGGGUAAAGGCCUACCAAGGCGACGAUCUGUAGCGGGUCUGAGAGGAUGAUCCGCCACACUGGGACUGAGACACGGCCCAGACUCCUACGGGAGGCAGCAGUGGGGAAUAUUGGACAAUGGGGGGAACCCUGAUCCAGCCAUGCCGCGUGUGUGAAGAAGGCCUUAUGGUUGUAAAGCACUUUAAGCGAGGAGGAGGCUGCUCUAGUUAAUACCUAGGGAUAGUGGACGUUACUCGCAGAAUAAGCACCGGCUAACUCUGUGCCAGCCGCCGCCGUAA